rnacentral:misc_RNA from 1 species
GAAGUCGAUAACUGGGAGUGCAGCUCUGACAGUUUGAAAGGUCAAGCUCCUGAAUGGAUUUUCCCCAGUAUUUCUCCUUGUAGCGGUCCUUUUCCUUACCUCCAUCAAUUUCACGCUUCUGUUCUUUGUCUUUCUCCUCCUCCUUCACUGACUUAGAUGUAUGCCCUUCAUUCCACAAAGAUUUUUUGCUCAUAACACCUGCAAGAAAUCCAUCAAUUCGUUCGCAGCGCUCCAAAAAUUCGUUGAAU